rnacentral:rRNA from 1 species
AAGGAAGUAUGUUGAUUUGACAUGAAGCGUUGGAAUGCUCUUUUUAGUUUUGGCAUAUUAGUCUAGUUAAAUUGUUAACUGUGUCUCUUUUAUGGUUUAUGGUUUAUGAUUGGUCCACGGCAUCUCGUCUAAUCGCCCAUAUAGAACUUGGUGCAAAGUGUACAAGAUAUGAAAUAUAAACAAGUUUUGCACUAGUGUGUGACAUAGCGUAAGAAGAUUUGAUAUGGGACAUGGCAAUAUAUAAUCAUGGAGAGAUAGAUUGGUCAAGAUAUGACAACUCUAACAGUACUCAACUUAGAUCCACAAUUAUCAACUAAGCAUAACAACACAUAGUCCGAAACAUACAAUAAAUAAUGUGUAGCAAGCCAUCACACACAAAAAAAGUACGGUGCAAGAUUAUUAAAGAGUUUCACAAACUCGGAUAAGCUUCGCCUCAAGGACCCUCGCUCCCUUGACCCCUCCCUUCCCGCAAACGUCCGGGAGGCAAACCCUAGUGCCGUCGUCGUCGGGGCUCCCUCCUCCGUCCCUCGCCGCCGCCAGAGGGCGUGGCCGGCGGCCCCGCCGUGUCUCCUCACGCGGGGGUCUUGGCGCGGGUCAAGACUGCCUCGCCUACGGAUAGCGUCGAGGCCGGGACGGUGGUGGUGACGGGCGACGCCGAGGAGGUGUUGCCUUGGGAGGUAGUGGGAGGGAUGGGAGGCGGCGAUGCGGUUAGUCCACCCAUCACCAGCAGGGGUGUCGAUCGUUGACGUGGUCUGCUCCUGCUUCACCUCUUCUCCGACCUGGUGGUUCCCCAGUCGAUCUGGCCGGUUCGGUCGCUGGUGGCUCUAUCAGAGCUCGGAGCAUGGCGGUCUGUUCAUCGCCACAGCCAUGGAAGGUGUAUGGGACCUCAGGUAUCCUAAGCGAUGGCUAGGUGGUGGGAGCGGCAGUACUCGUGGGUGGAUUUCACGGCUCAGGUGCGAGCGGCUAGCAGCCAUGGCCGCAUGGGCGGUGUGGCGGCUAGCAGUUUGACGGUUUGUGGCAUGUGCAACUGCACACCGUGGGCAAAGGUGGAGCAUGCCUGCCGGUGAAAACCCUGCCUGGCCUUGGCACGGCCGACAGAGGCGGCGUCGCGCCUGUGGAGGUUGCCAUCUUCUUGAAGUCUCUGUUGUGGUUGCUCCCUUUCCCUUUGUCGUGCUCCAGAUAAAAAUCUAGACCUUUGAACCGAGCGGUGGCGGUGCCUUGGUGUCAUGUCCUUCCUGAAGGCACCAUGUUGGAGCUCAUGGUUUCAUUGACUACUAAGUUUACCUCUUCGCGGUAUCACCAGAAGGGCUCCAGCUGCUCUGUAGUGUUGCCUACUGUCGUUUUGUAGUCUACUUCGAGUCAUGCGGGUGUUGUUGUUGUAGCUCUUGGGCACCUUUGUAUCUGGUCUUGGGUGAGUAUGGGUGUUGGUGUGUUGGGUUGUGGUUGUAUCGGUC